rnacentral:tRNA from 2 species
CGUGCGCCAAUGUUUUUCACCGAGAAGGUCUACGGUUCGAGUCCGUAUAGCCCUA